GACGCUGUAGUGUAAUGGUCAUCACGUUAGUUUUACACACUAAAGGUCCCCGGUUCGAACCCGGGCAGCGUCA